GUGCUUUGGAAGCACAUAUAUUAAAAUUGAAAUGAUACAGAGAAGAUUAGCAUAGCCUCUACGCAAGGAUGACACACAAAUUUGUGAAGCGUUACUGAAUAAA